rnacentral:tRNA from 1 species
AUAGCUCAGUGGUAGAGUGCUUGCCUCGCAUGCAUGAUGCCCUGGGUUCAAGCCCUAGU